AAAAGCAAGACAUGUGUCACGCUAGGCCUUCACGUGAUCGAAUGCAGUCUCAGUUGACCAAUUAGAAGCAGCCUCGCCCGGGCGAUCUUUGGAACUGAGUACAGCGCUCAUUGCCGGAAAGAACGCCAAAGGAAUUUUAAGAACAUUCGUGACCUUGCUAAUGUUUCUCAAAAUAAGUCGAGGUGUUGUCUCUCACAAAACAAAUGUUUUCUUGGAUCGACUACAGUCAACAUCAAAUGUCUUCAAACGAGGAUCUGCACCAUAGUCCAACAGCUCCCUUACAAUGUCUGCAUGUCCCUUGUAUGAAGCCCAUACCAAAGGAGACCAACCUCCCUAUAGUGGAGAAUAUUUUGUUGGUCAUGGGAUUGUGACAGAGGUGUAAAGAUACGAUAGUACUCCAAAUACUGCAUUUCAUGCAAAAAAUCUGUCAAAGGAGAACUCCUAAAAGACUUUCCUCCAUCAAAUUUGAAACAGAGGUAUCUGCUUAAUUAAAAUAGUUUUGCCUUACAAAAUACAGAACAAUAUGAAAUAAAAAUUUUGCUAUGUAAAUUGUGUAGUGAUCAUACAAGGUAUAUCCAUAUACAUAGCACUUCUUCAGACCACUUAAGAAAGUUCUCACUGUUUUCAAUUUAAGAAGCACAAGUCAACUGCAAACAGUGUCUUCUGAGUAGGGAAACAGUUUGAAGAAUCAUAAAUUAUAAUAAUAAAGUGUGACUGAUCAAAAAAAAUAUGUUUAACUGAAAUAUGAAUUUGCACAUUGCAGAAAAAGAAAAGAAAUACUGUUUGUAUUGUUUUAUCAUGUCAUGGGGUACAUGCAUGUUGGAAACUUACCAAUUUACUGUUGAUCAACAUGGACUUUACACAACAGAAUUAUUAAAAUAGCUUAAUCAAGUUUUAAAAUGUUGUCAAGAAUCGAUGUUAGUGAUAGAAAUGUCUACCAGGAAUGCCAGACAAUUGUCGGGAGUGAGAUUCUGAGUGCAAAUCGUUUGAAAAUGCUCAUGUAAAGAUUCAAUUUUAUAGCAGCCCUGGUUAAAAAAAAAUUGACAUAUGA